UACAGAGGGGGCGAGCGUUGUUCGGAAUUACUGGGCGUAAAGCGCGCGUAGGCGGCUUUGUAAGUUAGAGGUGAAAGCCCGGGGCUCAACCCCGGAAUUGCCUUUAAGACUGCAUCGCUUGAAUCCGGGAGAGGUGAGUGGAAUUCCGAGUGUAGAGGUGAAAUUCGUAGAUAUUCGGAAGAACACCAGUGGCGAAGGCGGCUCACUGGACCGGCAUUGACGCUGAGGUGCGAAAGCGUGGGGAGCAAACAGG
rnacentral:rRNA from 1 species